UUUCGACUCAAAUCAGCCGAUUAUGGUUAAAAAAGGGCAUUGGCUUUCUGCAGGAGCAAAUUUUGCAGCAAAUCACCAACAAGCUGAAGAAUUUGCAACGUUAACAUCUGACAAGACUAAGACCAAAGUUCCUUACUGUAAAAGACAAAUAUAUAUAUAAAUAACAGAUUUAGUGCGUGAGUAAAUAAUGCACGCUUUGAAACAAUCCGAUAGUGAACCCAACUAAAUCGAAUAACAAGAAUAUAUAUUAAAUUGAGACGCAUAAAUACUCCAGCCGUUAAA